ACGAACGCUGGCGGUCGUGGAUAAGACAUGCAAGUCGAACGCUGAACACGAGUGGGUAGCAAUAUAUUUGUGUUCGGAGUGGCGCAAGGGUGUGUACACGUGGAUCAUCUGCCGUGAAGUCUGGGAUAACUCGCUGAAAGGCGAGCUAAUACCGGAUGUGAAUGAAAAUUCAAAGUUGGGGACCGCAAGGCCCGACGCUUCACGAUGAGUCCGCGGCCUAUCAGCUAGAUUGGUGAGGUAAUGGCUCACCAAGGCUAAGACGGUGGUAGCUGGUCUGAGAGGACGACCAGCCACACUGGAACUGAGACACGGUCCAGACACCUACGGGUGUGCAGCAGUCGAGAAUUUUUCUCAAUGUGGCGAAAGCCUGAAGGAGCGACGUCCGCGUGGGGGAUGAAUGGCUUCGGCCCGUAAACCCCCGUCAUAUUUGUGAACAAAUAUUAUUCACCUAACACGUGAAGUAUUGAUUGUAGCGGAAGAGGAAGGGACGGCUAACUCUGUGCCAGCAGCCGCGGUAAUACAGACGGUCCCAAGCGUUGUUCGGAUUCACUGGGCGUAAAGGGUGCGUAGGCGUCGGGUACAGUCUGAUGUGAAAUCUCACAGCUUAACUGUGAAACUGCAUUGGAUACUAUCCGGCUCGAGGAAUGGAGGUGAGACUGGAAUACUUGGUGUAGCAUGGAAAUGCGUAGAUAUCAAGUGGAACACCAGUGUGCGAAGGCGAGUUCUCUGGACCAUUUACCUGACGCUGAGGCACGAAAGCCCGGGGAUCAAACGGAUUAGAUACCCCGGUAGUCCUGGCCCUUAAACGGUCGCAUUUGCCUGUGAGUGGAAUCGACCCCCGCUCGUGGCGAAGCUAACGCGUUAAAUGUCGCCGCCUGGGAAAUACGGCCACAUAGGUUAAAACUCAAAGAAAUUGACGGGGGCCCUGCACAAGCGGUGGAGUAUGUGGCUUAAUUCGAUGCAACGCGAAGAACCUUACCUGGCCUUGACAUGCAAGUAGUAGUAGAACCAUGAAAGUGUGGGACGACCCCCCUUCGGUAGCAAUACCAUGCUUGCACAGGUGCUGCAUGGCUGUCGUCAGCUCGUGUCGUGAGAUUGGUUGGGUUAAGUCCCGCAACGAGCGCAACCCCUGUGUCCUGUUGCUCACCACACUUCGGUGUGAGCACUCUGGACAGACUGCCUCGCUUCAACGAGGAGGAAGGUGGGGAUGACGUCAAGUCAUGUAUGGCCCUUACGUGCCAGGGCUGCACACGUACUACAAUGCCCUGGCCACAAGGGAAGCAAGAUCGUAAGAUGAGCAAAUCCCCAAAAAUCGGGCCCAGUUCAGAUUUGUCGUCUGCAAUUCGACGUCAGAAGUCUGGAAUCGCUAGUAAUGGCGCAUCAGCUACGGCGCCGUGACUACGUUCCCAGGCCUUGUACACACCGCCCGUCACAUCAUGAAAGCCGGUUGCACCCGAAGCCGCCCCUUAAAGUGUGCUUACGAAGGCUCAUGACUGAUAGCUGGGAUG
rnacentral:rRNA from 1 species